rnacentral:rRNA from 1 species
CCGCUGAACUUAAGCAUAUCANUAAGCGGAGGA